rnacentral:rRNA from 1 species
GUCUACGGCCAUACCAUCCUGAAUACGUCCUAUCUCGUCUGAUCUCGGAAGCUAAGCAGAGUCGGGCCUAGUUAGUACUUGGAUGGGAGAAUCCAACACUUGUAUCAA